rnacentral:tRNA from 1 species
GCCCAUGUAGCUCAGGGGUAGAGCACUCCCUUGGUAAGGGAGAGGUCGGCAGUUCGAUUCUGCCCAUGGGCACCA